GUGGCAUCUAAAGAGCCAGAGAGUCCUCGGGGGAGAGCAGUUCAUCCUCCGUCACCCUCCGACUUCUUGGACAAACUCAUGGGGAGAACCUCAGGCUAUGAUGCCAGAAUUAGGCCCAACUUUAAAGGUCCUCCUGUGAACGUAUCAUGCAACAUAUUCAUCAACAGCUUUGGCUCCAUAGCUGAGACUACAAUGGACUACAGAGUGAACAUCUUCCUCCGU